AUUGAACGCUGGCGGCAGGCCUAACACAUGCAAGUCGAGCGGAUGAAGGGGGCUUGCUCCUGGAUUCAGCGGCGGACGGGUGAGUAAUGCCUAGGAAUCUGCCUGGUAGUGGGGGAUAACGUGCGGAAACGGGCGCUAAUACCGCAUACGUCCUGAGGGAGAAAGUGGGGGAUCUUCGGACCUCACGCUAUCAGAUGAGCCUAGGUCGGAUUAGCUAGUUGGUGGGGUAAAGGCCUACCAAGGCGACGAUCCGUAACUGGUCUGAGAGGAUGAUCAGUCACACUGGAACUGAGACACGGUCCAGACUCCUACGGGAGGCAGCAGUGGGGAAUAUUGGACGAUGGGCGAAAGCCUGAUCCAGCCAAGCCGCGUGUGUGAAGAAGGUCUUAGGAUUGUAAAGCAAUUUAAGUUGGGAGGAAGGGCAGUAAGUUAAUACCUUGCUGUUUUGACGUUACCAACAGAAUAAGCACCGGCUAACUUCGUG
rnacentral:rRNA from 1 species